rnacentral:lncRNA from 1 species
UGGUGCCUACAGCUUACAACACAAAGGGACCCUUUUACGAUCAAUACCUAUUUUAUUUGGUUACAUCACUCAUACGGUCUCACACACUCACACCACUCAUACCAUUGUUCGCUUUCCCAGUUCAUGUCAUUUAGAAUACGAAACGGUGAUGGUAAGACGUAGAUAUAGUCUCUCUGAGAGACUAUAUAAAUACUCUACUCUCUAGUGCUUUAAUACUAGAUUACAACUUAUCUACCCGCUACUACAAAUAUCUGUGCUACUUAGUAAGUAUGAGUGAGCUAUUAUUUAAUUUAAUUUAAUUAACUAUAGUAAUUAAUAUAUUACCAUGUUUUAUAAUAUCUAUUAUUACCAUGAUUUUAGGUAAAACACGCGAUUGAAAUUCAAACAGUAAAUAUUCAUCACAGACCAUAGUAUAAUCUUAUGACUCAUGGGAAAUUCAUGGAUUUCAGAUUUGUGGUUAACGUGCAUGAUUCUGCUCUGAUAUGCGGUCUUCAUAUAGGUAUAUAAAAUAUAUAAUAAUAAUAUAAUAUUAAAAAACCAACCUGGCAGUGUUAUAUUAUAUAAUAGAGCAUCGUGUAUAGGCACACUAAUGAAUAAUAAUUUACAAAAAUUAAAAUUUCAAACAAAACAAUUAAAUAGUAAAAUAAACAAAUAUAAAUUGGUUGCUAUUGUGUUUAGGACAAUUUACCAUAAUAUUAUUAUAUUGGAGUGCACUUGAAAGUAAAUAAUAUAUUCAAUUAGUUAAACUCAUAAAACAUUCCAUCCUUCUCUUACAUGUUAGUGAAAUAUAUUUAAACAACAGAAAUGUUAAUAAAAUUUAAUAUUUUGGUAUAUGUAUUUUAUUAUUAAUUAUACGGGAGUACAGAACGACAGAAAAAAAUAAGGUGAUAAAAUAUUUUAGUAUUAAUUUUUAUUAGAUAGAGUGAUUUUAGGUUGGAGAGAGUAUUUGUUAGACGCAUUAAACAGUCAAGAGGUUAAUUGCUGCAGUAAUUUGUAGUACGUUUGGGUACUACAUAAGGGGUGAGGGAGUGAGUGGAGUGCUGAAGAACUCGGAAAUUAAUACAAGAGAGGAAGGAAGGUACAUCAAACGAGUAGUCGUGAAUGGGGUGGGGAAUAUUCAAAGUAAACCAGCGAAGGACAGAUUUUAUUAUUUUAAAAUUGGUUAUACUCAAUAUGCAAUAGAGCAUUAUCAUGAAUCAUGAUCAAAUUUGACCCUAAUUACUUUCUUAAAUGAGAGAAGAAGGUGACAGUCAUAGUUUAUAAUUAACUUGUACAUCUAGAAUUGAUAUGGUCAAAACGAUUAGCACUGCAUCACUGUAGUACCAGUGUACCAGUACUACCUUGAACAACACAUGUGUGAUCGAGAGAACUAAUAGUAUCAAUUUUCUAUUAGACAUUAGGUAUUGCAUAGAGUAUUUAAAUCAUAUGAUAUUGGUACAAAUUUCCAAUUGUAUACACGUAACUAUAAAUCUAUAAUACAGUUGUAAUCAAGUUGUUAGUUCUCAUUAUAGAAGGCAAAUUAGAAAGGGUUUCCAAAAUUCACUUAAACGAUAGUGGAAGGCUUCAUUAUCUCUUCUGAUGGUUUGAUUAAGCCUCAUUUUUUAAAUUUAUAUAUAUAUAUAUAGUUAUGGCUGGGGUGACGAAGUGAAUUAGGAUUAAUUGAUAAAUAUUAAUAAAAUAUUAUUUGCAUGAGUUUGUUUGUAUGCAAUAUCAGGAUCAUAAAUUACAUACAAAUUGUGGGGGGGGGGGGGGCUAUAAAAUAGCUAAACUGUUCAAAAUAUUAAACCGGCUGUAUUUUUGCUUAAAUACCUAGUUAUUAACUAGUAAGUUUCUUAAUAUUGUUUUGUAAGAUUACUGUUGUAUUUUAAUUUUAUAAAAUUAAAACUUCUAGUAUGGAAUAUACUCUAUCAACUUCCAAUUCCACCUGUUGCAUCAAAUACAUUUCUAGUUGUACUGUAAUUUCCUAUUUCAGUCUUUGAUAUACAACAUGACGAAACUAAGCAAUAUUGCGAGGUAUAGAUAAAAUUUAUCAUCAUAAAUGAUUUUUUUUUUUAUAUAGAAUUACAAACAUUAACAAAAAAAACUACAAUAAUAUUGUUAUUGGCUGAUAUUGAAAAAUAAAAGUAUAGAAAUUAGAAUAUUAAACUGACAGCCAUCUAGACAUUAUCACACAUUAUUUGUUUAGGUUUUUUAAUGUCAGCUGUAAUAUUUUUUGUUUUAAUGAUUGGUAACAAUAUUUUUUAGCUAAUUUAUUUUUAUUAUUUAAUGUAAACCCCACACAAAUGAGUAACUGAAGAAAGAUGAAAAGCAGACCAAACUUAUCAACUAACUUGUAAAUCUAUGGAAUAAACUUUUUUGCAUAUUGUUUACUCCAUCAUGAGGAGUGGCUCAUGGUUAGGUCUCUUUACUUUAUGUUGAUAUUAGAUUUUUCACUACUCAAUGUCUUUCUCUUUAUAUGUAGAAUGUAUAUGGAUACAAAAUAUUAAAUAUUUAUGUAGGUUCUAGUUAUUUUAUAACUACUGAUGAUAACAAGUAAAUUUGUCAGUAUCCACCCAGUGAACAUUUCUUUUCAGAAAAAGUCCUAUAAAUGAUAAUCUGAGUAAACUUUCUGGUAGAAAAAGAGUUUAAAUAAAAAAAAAUUAAUGUAAAACCAAUAUAUAUCUAGAAAAUAGACUAAUAUCUAAUUUAAUAAUACUAAUGUCUCAAAACUUAAAAAUAAUUAAUUAAUAACAUUUAAUCUGGUUAUAGAUGUGAUGGAAAUUAAAACUGCAACUUCUAUGUAUACCUACAAUUAUGUGUCUUUCAACAGUGAAUAAGCACUGUAGCAAGUUGGGUUUGUUGUUCUUCUGUCAACCACCAAUCUAGAAUGUGAUCUCAAAUUAUAUUGAAAAAUAUUGGUUCAUUAUGGUAAAUAUGGUCUAAGAAAAGUUAAAUGUAUUGUGCUAAAAGCGCUAAGAACUUCUAAUAAUUAUGGUGGAAAUUUAUUACAAGUUUAUACAUAUAAUUAUCAAUUCUUCUAUAUAUAUUGUAGUGUAAAUGAACCAGAAAUACUUUACACUUGUGUUUUAUCAACUGUUUAUAAUAUUGCUACUUAAAAACUACCAAACAAACUGCACAAGAUGGAUCUGUUCACUCACAAAAAGCAAUACUUUUUCAAAUAUAUAUGAACAUAUUAUUAAAAGUUCAUGAAAGUGGUUGUGCAUGGGGUGUAAAGGGACUUUAUAUCCCAUGGACAACCACUUAUAUAUCUUUCAAUGAAAAUGAUCCAGAAAUAUUUAAAACUUGUGUUUUAUCAAUUGUUUAUAGUAUUUCGACUUGUAAACUAUUAAACAAACUGGACAAGGUGAAUCUGUUCACAACCUGAAAUACUUACACAAAUAUAAGUGAACAUAUUAUUGAGAGUUCAUGAAAGUGGGUGUGCAUGGGAUGAAAAGGGACUUCUCAUCCCAUGGACAUCCACUUAUAUAUCUCUCAGUGAAAAUGAUCCAGAAAUACUUAAAACUACCAAACAAACUGAAAAAGAUGGAUCUGUUCACACCCUGAAAUACUUACUCAAAUAUAAGUGAACAUAUUAUUAAAAGUUCAUGAAAGUGGUUGUGCAUGGGGUGAAAAGGGACUUCUCAUCCCAUGGACAACCACUUAUAUAUCUUUCAAUGAAAAUGAUCCAGAAAUAUUUAAAACUUGUGUUUUAUCAAUUGUUUAUAGUAUUUCGACUUGUAAACUAUUAAACAAACUGGACAAGGUGAAUCUGUUCACAACCUGAAAUACUUACACAAAUAUAAGUGAACAUAUUAUUGAGAGUUCAUGAAAGUGGGUGUGCAUGGGAUGAAAAGGGACUUCUCAUCCCAUGGACAUCCACUUAUAUAUCUCUCAGUGAAAAUGAUCCAGAAAUACUGAAAACUACCAAACACACUGGACGAGAUGGAUCUGUUCACAACCUGAAAUACUUACUCAAAUAUAAGUGAACAUAUUAUUGAAAGUUCAUGAAAGUGGGUGUGCAUGGGAUGAAAAGGGACUUCUCGUUCCAUGGACAUCCACUUAUAUAUCUUUCAAUGAAAAUGAUCCAGAAAUAUUUAAAACUUGUGUUUUAUCAAUUGUUUAUAGUAUUUCUACUUGUAAACUAUUAAACAAACUGCACAAGAUGGAUCCGUUCACCCACAACAUAAAACACUUACUCAAAUAUAGGUGAACAUAUUAUUGAAAGUUCAUGAAAGUGGGUGUGCAUGGGAUGAAAAGGGACUUCUCGUCCCAUGGACAUCCACUUAUAUAUCUUUCAGUGAAAAUGAACCAGAAAUACUUGACACUUGUGUUUUAUCAAUUAUAAUAUUUCUACUUGAAAAAGGCCAAACAAACUGCACAAGAUGGAUCUGUUCACUCACAACAUGAAACACUCAAAUAUAUAUGAACAUAUUAUUAAAAGUUCAUGAAAGUGGUUGUGCAUGGGGUGUAAAGGGACUUUAUAUUCCAUGGACAACCACUUAUAUAUCUUUCAAUGAAAAUGAUCCAGAAAUAUUUAAAACUUGUGUUUUAUCAAUUGUUUAAAGUAUUUCUACUUGUAAACUAUUAAACAAACUGCACAAGAUGGAUCUAUUCACUCACAACAUGAAAUACUUACUCAAAUAUAUGUGAACUUAUUAUUGAAAAUUCAUGAAAGUGGGUGUGCAUGGGAUGAAAAGGGACUUCUCGUCCCAUGGACAUCCACUUAUAUAUCUUUCAAUGAAAAUGAUCCAGAAAUAUUUAAAACUUGUGUUUUAUCAAUUGUUUAAAGUAUUUCUACUUGUAAACUAUUAAACAAACUGCACAAGAUGGAUCUAUUCACUCACAACAUGAAAUACUUACUCAAAUAUAUGUGAGCUUAUUAUUGAAAAUUCAUGAAAGUGGGUGUGCAUGGGAUGAAAAGGGACUUCUCAUCCCAUGGACAUCCACUUAUAUAUCGCUCAGUGAAAAUGAUCCAGAAAUACAGAAAACUACCAAACACACUGGACGAGAUGGAUCUGUUCACAACCUGAAAUACUUACUCAAAUAUAAGUGAACAUAUUAUUAAAAGUUCAUGAAAGUGGUUGUGCAUGGGGUGUAAAGGGACUUUAUAUCCCAUGGACAACCACUUAUAUAUCUUUCAAUGAAAAUGAUCCAGAAAUAUUUAAAACUUGUGUUUUAUCAAUUGUUUAUAGUAUUUCGACUUGUAAACUAUUAAACAAACUGGACAAGGUGAAUCUGUUCACAACCUGAAAUACUUACUCAAAUAUAAGUGAACAUAUUAUUGAGAGUUCAUGAAAGUGGGUGUGCAUGGGAUGAAAAGGGACUUCUCGUUCCAUGGACAUCCACUUAUAUAUCUUUCAGUGAAAAUGAACUAGAAAUUCUGGGAACUUGUGUUUUAUCAAUUAUAAUAUUUCUACUUGAAAAAGGCCAAACAAACUGCACAAGAUGGAUCAGUUCACUCACAACAUGAAAUACUUACUCAAAUAUAUGUGAACUUAUUAUUAAAAGUUCAUGAAAGUGGUUGUGCAUGGGGUGAAAAGGGACUUCUCAUCCCAUGGACAACCACUUAUAUAUCUUUCAAUGAAAAUGAUCCAGAAAUAUUUAAAACUUGUGUUUUAUCAAUUGUUUAUAGUAUUUCGACUUGUAAACUAUUAAACAAACUGGAAAAGAUGGAUCUAUUCACUCACAACAUGAAAUACUUACUCAAAUAUAUGUGAACUUAUUAUUGAAAAUUCAUGAAAGUGGGUGUGCAUGGGGUGAAAAGGGACUUUUCAUCCCAUGGACACCCACUUAUAUAUCUUUCAGUGAAAAUGAUCCAAAAAUACUAAUAACUUGUGUUUUAUUAAUUGUUUAUAAAUUUCUACAUGAAAAAAGCCAAACAAACUGCACAAGAUGGAUCUGUUNNNNNNNNNNNNNNNNNNNNNNNNNNNNNNNNNNNNNNNNNNNNNNNNNNNNNNNNNNNNNNNNNNNNNNNNNNNNNNNNNNNNNNNNNNNNNNNNNNNNNNNNNNNNNNNNNNNNNNNNNNNNNNNNNNNNNNNNNNNNNNNNNNNNNNNNNNNNNNNNNNNNNNNNNNNNNNNNNNNNNNNNNNNNNNNNNNNNNNNNNNNNNNNNNNNNNNNNNNNNNNNNNNNNNNNNNNNNNNNNNNNNUUCAAUGAAAAUGAUCCAGAAAUAUUUAAACUUGUGUUUUAUCAAUUAUAAUAUUUCUACUUGAAAAAGGCCAAACAAACUGCACAAGAUGGAUCUGUUCACUCACAACAUGAAAUACUUUCUCAAAUAUAGGUGAACAUAUUAUUGAAAGUUCAUGAAAGUGGGUGUGCAUGGGAUGAAAAGGGACUUCUCGUCCCAUGGACAUCCACUUAUAUAUCUCUCAGUGAAAAUGAUCCAGAAAUACUUAAAACUACCAAACAAACUGAAAAAGAUGGAUCUGUUCACACCCUGAAAUACUUACUCAAAUAUAAGUGAACAUAUUAUUAAAAGUUCAUGAAAGUGGUUGUGCAUGGGGUGUAAAGGGACUUUAUACCCCAUGGACAACCACUUAUAUAUCUUUCAAUGAAAAUGAUCCAGAAAUAUUUAAACUUGUGUUUUAUCAAUUAUAAUAUUUCUACUUGAAAAAGGCCAAACAAACUGCACAAGAUGGAUCUGUUCACUCACAAUAUGAAAUACUUACUCAAAUUUAUGCGAACAUAUUAUUGAAAAUUCAUGAAAGUGGGUGUGCAUGGGGUGAAAAGGGACUUUUCAUCCCAUGGACACCCACUUAUAUAUCUUUCAGUGAAAAUGAUCCAAAAAUACUAAUAACUUGUGUUUUAUUAAUUGUUUAUAAAUUUCUACAUGAAAAAAGCCAAACAAACUGCACAAGAUGGAUCUGUUCACUCACAACAUGAAAUACUUUCUCAAAUAUAGGUGAACAUAUUAUUGAAAGUUCAUGAAAGUGGGUGUGCAUGGGAUGAAAAGGGACUUCUCGUUCCAUGGACAUCCACUUAUAUAUCUUUCAAUGAAAAUGAUCCAGAAAUAUUUAAAACUUGUGUUUUAUCAAUUGUUUAUAGUAUUUCGACUUGUAAACUAUUAAACAAACUGGAAAAGAUGGAUCUAUUCACUCACAACAUGAAAUACUUACUCAAAUAUAUGUGAACUUAUUAUUGAAAAUUCAUGAAAGUGGGUGUGCAUCGGUUGAAAAGAGUCUUUUCGUCCCAUGGACAACCACUUAUAUAUCUUCCAAUGAAAAUGAUCCAGAAAUACUUUAAACUUGUGUUUUAUCAAUUGUUUAUAAUAUUUCCACAUGAUAAAGGUCAAACAAACUGCACAAGAUGGAUCAGUUCAUCCACAACAUAAAACACUUACUCAAAUAUAGGUGAGCAUAUUAUUGAGAGUUCAUGAAAGUGGGUGUGCAUGGGAUGAAAAGGGACUUCUCAUCCCAUGCUCAUCCACUUAUAUAUCUCUCAGUGAAAAUGAUCCAGAAAUACUGAAAACUACCAAACAAACUGGAAAAGAUGGAUCUGUUCACAACCUGAAGUACUUACUCAAAUAUAAGUGAACAUAUUAUUGAAAGUUCAUGAAAGUGGGUGUGCAUGGGAUGAAAAGGGACUUCUUGUCCCAUGGACAUCCACUUAUAUAUCUUUCAGUGAAAAUGAUCCAAAAAUUCUGAAAACCUGUGUUUUAUCAAUUGUGUAUAAUAUUUCUACAUAAAAAAUACCAAACUAACUGCACAAUAUGGAUUUGCAUAUGGAACUUGUUUAAACAACCGUGAAAAUAUUUAUUAUUAAUUCAUAAUGCAGAUUUUCAGUUAUGAAAAAAACGGAUUGGUAUCUUUUGAAAUGAGCUUAUGUAAGUUUUUGUCUUAGAAAGAUAAUGGCAUCGGAAUUUUUUUUUUUCAUGGACACCCACUUAAAUAAUCUUUAUAUUGUCUUAUUUCUGUACUGCUAAAUAAUUGGUUUGUUUUACCUAUACUUUUGGAUAGAAUAGAUUUGUAUAGAACCUUUAGAAUAGAGGAGAGUAAGUCAUUAUUAGAUUGAUCAGUAUUAUGUCUCGAGAAAUUAUAUUCCUUAAUUUAUAUUAUAUUUUAUAACGAAAUGAAAAAUGUUGUUUUUAAACUUUCGAAACUUAAAAACAAAUUCAUUACAUUUGUCUGGUUGUUCUUGUAAUAUGCAUUCUAUCCUAUUAUUUGUAGCAAAAAUGUAUUUAUAAAAAAUUAUGUUAGUAUUUGAAAUGUAUUAGUUCUAAAUUUAAAUUGAUUUAUUCAAAUCUAUAAUAAUUAUAUUAUAUUGUAACGAAAUUUAAAAUUUUUAUUUUUAGUUUAAUUUAAUCUUAAAAAACUAAAACUAAAACAAUUGUAUUAAAUUUGUUCGUCAGUACUUAUCAUUGUGUCUUGUUAUUUGUAAUAUAAAUUUUAUAAUUCUUAUAUUCCUUUUUUGUAUGGAAAUUUUCUAGCACCUUUAUUUUGAAAAAGUGUUUUUAGAAUCAAUCAAUGACAGAUUUUCUAAUUCGUCUAAUUUUAUUUGACACUUGAAACUAGUCAAAAG